rnacentral:lncRNA from 1 species
ACUUUGGGAGGCCAAAGGGGGCAGAUCACUUGAGGUCAGGAGUCCAAGACCAGCCUGGCCAACAUGGUGAAACCCUGUCUCUACUAAAAAUACAAAAAUUAGCUGGGCAUGGUGCCGCGUGCCUGUAAUCCCAGCUACUUGGGAGGCUGGGGCAGGGGAAUCAGUUGAACCCGGGAGGCAGAGGUCGCAGUAAGCCGAGAUUGCGCUACUACUGCACUCUAGCCUGUGUGACAAGAGCAAGACUCCGUCUCUCAAAAAAAACAAAAACAAAAAACAGAGAAAAUAAAAUGGCUCAUUUGCUAGCGGUAGGUAAUAACAAACUUCGCUGAGCUAAAGGAGUAUGUUUUAACCCAAUGCAAAGAAGCGAAAAACCAUGAUAAAACAUUACAGGAGCUGUUAACCAGAAUGGCUAGUUUAGAGAGGAACAUAAAUGACCUGAUUGAGCUGAAA